GCAUUGGUGAUAUAGUGGUUAUCACAGCUGCCUUGUAAGCAGUUGGCCUGGGUUCGAUUCCCAGCCAACACA